GGGUUAAAUGAUUUUGGUGGGUGGAUUUUGAAUGGGUAGUAUUUUCCUGUUGAGGUGUUGCAUGCGUGAUCUGCAAAAGAGUAGGCUGAGUGUUAAUAGCAAGUUGGAGGUUCUGGUGAACUGUUAGGGGCAAGCUUUAGGAGUUUAUUAUUGUCCAUGUGUUGUUCCUCUGAAGGAUUGGAAGAAAUAGGGGAUGAUGUUUAUUGGUGUUGUGGUUGUUGGU
rnacentral:misc_RNA from 1 species